rnacentral:rRNA from 1 species
CAGCUGUAAACUAAUGUGCGUUAGGUGUGUCAGUGACCACGUGUCACUGAGGUGCCGAAGGGAAACCGUGAAACGCAUCGCCUGGGGAGUACGGUCGCAAGGCUGAAACUUAAAGGAAUUGGCGGGGGAGGCACCACAACGGGUGGGAGCCUGCGGUUUAAUUCGGACGUCAACGCCGGGAAGUCUCACCGGAUAAGACAGCUGAAUGAUAGUCGGGAGUGAAGACUCUACUUGACUAGCUGAGAGGUGGUGCAUGGCGUCAGUGACU